AGAGAUAACCGCUGAAAGCAUCUAAGCGGGAAACUCGCCUUAAGAUGAGAUAUCCCUGGGGACUAGAUCCCCUUGAAGGGUCGUUCGAGACCAGGACGUUGAUAGGUCAGGUGUGUAAGCGCAGUAAUGCGUUCAGCUAACUGAUACUAAUUGCCCGUAAGGCUUGAUCCUAUAACA
rnacentral:rRNA from 2 species